rnacentral:lncRNA from 1 species
GUCUUGAGCCUUGGUCUAGUAUGAUUUCUACGGGGUGAAUCGUGUCAUCGACCUUCAUAAUGAUAUCGCUACAUUGGUUACCUUUCACGCGUCAUUAUAUGAGUCGGCCAAAUGUGUUGUCUACUUUGUUUUGUGUGAUUCUUACUACUCUUCAUGUGUCAUGAUUUACUAUGGCAACGUGGCUUGGCUAUUUUUACGGAUUCG